GCGGAUGUGGUGGAAUUGGUAGACACGCCACCUUGAGGGGGUGGUGCUUUCGGGCGUGGGGGUUCAAGUCCCCCCAUCCGCACCA
rnacentral:tRNA from 31 species